rnacentral:rRNA from 1 species
CAGCAGCCGCGGUAAUACGAAGGGUGCAAGCGUUAAUCGGAAUUACUGGGCGUAAAGCGUGCGUAGGCGGUGAGUUAAGUCUGCUGUGAAAUCCCCGGGCUCAACCUGGGAAUGGCAGUGGAUACUGGCUCGCUAGAGUGUGUCAGAGGAUGGUGGAAUUCCCGGUGUAGCGGUGAAAUGCGUAGAGAUCGGGAGGAACAUCAGUGACGAAGGCGGCCAUCUGGGACAACACUGACGCUGAGGCACGAAAGCGUGGGGAGCAAACAGGAUUAGAUACCCCCGUAGUCCCUGUCUCUUAUAC